rnacentral:tRNA from 1 species
GGCCCGUUCGUCUAGGGGCUUAGGACAUCGGCCUCUCACGCCGAAAACACGGGUUCGAUUCCCGUACGGGCUA